rnacentral:rRNA from 1 species
AUUGAACGCUGGCGGCAGGCCUAACACAUGCAAGUCGAACGGUAACAGGGAUCAGCUUGCUGCUUCGCUGACGAGUGGCGGACGGGUGAGUAAUGUCUGGGAAACUGCCUGAUGGAGGGGGAUAACUACUGGAAACGGUAGCUAAUACCGCAUAACGUCGCAAGACCAAAGAGGGGGACCUUCGGGCCUCUUGCCAUCGGAUGUGCCCAGAUGGGAUUAGCUAGUAGGUGGGGUAACGGCUCACCUAGGCGACGAUCCCUAGCUGGUCUGAGAGGAUGACCAGCCACACUGGAACUGAGACACGGUCCAGACUCCUACGGGAGGCAGCAGUGGGGAAUAUUGCACAAUGGGCGCAAGCCUGAUGCAGCCAUGCCGCGUGUAUGAAGAAGGCCUUCGGGUUGUAAAGUACUUUCAGCGGGGAGGAAGGGAGUAAAGUUAAUACCUUGGCUCAUUGACGUUACCCGCAGAAGAAGCACCGGCUAACUCCGUG